GCAGAACAACGCAGGCAUGAUCAACUUUCCAAAUAUACAAGUAUUUAUAUGUGUAUAUGUAUGUCUGUAUGUAUAUACAUAUAGACACAGAAAAAAGUACGAAAGUUUAACACUUAGCUCUAGAUGAUAAGACAGUUGAGGAAUUUUUUUUUCCUGUUUUCUGCUUGGUUUAAUUUUUGUUUUUCUUUUUUCUUUUUUUCCUUUUUGGAGACAGGAUCUUGCUCUGUCACCCAGGCUGGAAUGCAGUGGCAUAAUCACGGCUCACUGCAGCCUCGACCUCCUGGGCUCUUGCAAUCCUCCCACCUCAGCCUUCAGAGUAGCUGAGACUACAGGCAUGCACCACCACACCCAGCUAAUUUUUUUACUUUUUGUAAAGACAAGGUCUCACUAUAUUGCCCAAGGUCGUCUUGAACUCCUGGGCUCAAGCAAUCCUCCUGCCUCAGCCUUUCUUUUUAUUUUUCUGAGAUGGAAUCUUGCUUCUUCACCCAGGCUGGAGUGCAGUGGUGCUAUCUUCGCUCACCGCAACCUCUGCCUCCUGGAUUCAAGCAAUUCUCCUGCCUCGGCCUCCCCAGUAGCUGAGAUUACAGGCACCACCACCGUGCCCAGCUAAUUUUUGUAUUUUUAGUAAAGUCAGGGUUUUGCCAUGUUGGCCAGGCUGGUCUCGAACUCCUGACCUCAAGUGAUCCACCCGCCUCGGCCUCCCAAAGUGCUGGGAUUACAGGUGUGAGCCACUACGCCUGGC
rnacentral:lncRNA from 10 species